AACGCUUUGAGCGGUGGAUCACUCGGCUCACGGGUCAAUGAAAGAACGCAGCCAGCUGUCAGAUUUGGUGUGAAUUACGGGACAUUGAGCACCGAUUUUUCCAGACCGCAUUGCGGCCUCGGGUAAUGCCCGGGGCCUCGCCUGUCUGAGGGUCGGCUAAGACUUGCAAAGGAAAUAAUAUUUCCUAUUGGCCGUAUCGGAGUCCUUCGUGGAUUUCGUCGGCUCAAGUACUCAUAGGAUCCUCCCCGGUCGAGAGAACACAAGCCCUAGUGCAUGCUCGUAGUUCGGAGAAAACGGACAACGUUUCUACACGAAGACGAGAAGGUAUGAUGCUGAGAAGACCAAACAUAGGGUACGAGAACCUACAUAAACUUAUUAACCUAUAUAAAAUUCACUUAUUGACAACUCAGAUCAGACGAGAUGACCCGCUGAAUUUAAGCAAAUAAAUAAGAGGGGGAAAGAAACCAACAGGGAUUCCCUGAGUAACGGUGACCGAAAGGGGAAGAGUCCAGCACUGAAGCCUCCUCUCGAGAGGGAGUCGGAAAAUGUGGCGUUUAGGAGUGAGAGUGCCGGUUGACUCAAGCAAGUCCCCUGACCGGGGCUGGCUUAGAGUGGGUGGUGCGAAUGGCCCACUUAAUAUAGGUCUCCGUCAGAUGCGAUCUCCUUGGAGUCAUUGCUUGGGAGUGCAGCCUAAUCGGGUGAGCAACUCACCUAAGGUUAAGCUCGGCCGUGGGACCGAUAGCAAACCAGUACCGUGAGGGAAAGUUGCAAAGAACAUUAAAAAAAAAAAAGAGAGUACGUGACACUGCUCAGAGGCAAACAGGUGGACCCUCAAACUCCUGUGUCGGGGAGGAUGCAGUUUUGACGUGGUCCCUUGUUUGAGAUUCAUUAUGGUUUCGCAGGCGUACACCAUUCGAGGAAGUUUCGCGUCAUGGAAAGCAUUUGUUUCCCGUACGAAGGACCCCGCUACCAGUUGCAAGGACUGCCUUAAGGGCGCGGCGUCAGUUGGCCGGUGGUCCAUUCAUUUGGAUCGUCGGCUGUUAGCCAGCGUGUCGCACGGCUCGUAGCGUGACCGUGAUGUCGCGUGGACUAUUUGAAGCUUCUUCGCCUCCUCCGUUCACGGACUCCUGGAUACAGUGGCGAGAGUGAGCACUUUUUGCAGGCGCACAGUUGAAUUCCGCUGGGAGGCAACUCCUCUUUGGCUGCUAUGUACCUGUCGGAGGUUGGCGGCUUGCGGGGAGUAGAUCGUUCACCCUCCCGACCCGUCUUGAAACACGGACCAAGGAUUAUAACAUGUCUGUGUGUCAAUGGGUCUCGAAUAAGCCCAGAGGCGCAAUGAAAGCAAAGGUCAGACUCGACGCCGAUUGUGUUGGGAUCCCUUCGAAAGAGUGUCGCACCAACGACCCGUCCUUUCUAAUUUAUUGGUUGGGUAGAGUUUGAGCAUACAUGUUGGGACCCGAAAGAUAGUGAAUUAUGCCCGGGCAGGACGAGGCCAGAGGAAACUCUGAUGGAGGUUCGCAGCGGUUCUGACGUGCAAAUAGAUCCGGGUAUAGGGGCGAAAAACUAAUCGCCCGAGUAAACAUCCCUCCGAAGUUUACCUCAGGAUAGCUGGCGCUCGGAAAACUCAGUCUCAUCCGGUAAGGCGAAUGAUUAGAGGCCUUGGGGUCGAAACGACCUUAACCUAUUCUCAAACUUUAAAUGGGUGAGAAGUCCGCCGUGCAUGACUGAAGGCCGUACGAUUGGAUGCGAGUGUCCAGUAGGCCACUUUUGGUAAGCAGAACUGGCUCUGUGGGAUAAACCAAACGUCUGAUUACGGCAUCCGAUGCGAAACGCUCAUGAGGCCCCAUGAAAGGUAUUGUUUGCUCUAGACAGA
rnacentral:rRNA from 13 species